rnacentral:lncRNA from 1 species
CUUUUUAAUCUGACAUGAAACCAUCAUCCCAGUGAGGAUGAAGGUAGAAAACAAUAUUUCUUGAGUUAACUCUUUUUUUCCCUGCCAUUUAUUAUUAUUAUACUGACCUGGAGAACUGCUCUAUGGGGAAAGUUUCCCAAGGGGAAGAGUUAAAAGCUUUGGGCAAGGUUGGAGUUAGGACUGAGUUCUGGAACACUGCAAGCUUGGGAGAGGGUGUUAACCUAAAGCCCCAUCUCCACCAUGUUUACUCAGCAUCUCUUGCUCAUUGAGAACCAGGGGAAUGUUUUCCAGACUUAGGGAUUCUUAAGUUCUGGGGAUUUCAUGCCCCACUUUCCUUUCUUGUGACAGUUUGCAAUGUUUAUUAAGAGUUGAACUGAUAUCAGAAAAUAGCCCAAUUUUAACAUUUGCUAUUUUUUCACAGUUAGUGUGAUAGAGUGAAUCAUUAGUCUCAAUUCUCCAAUUACUGGUUUAUACACUCAGCCCCUUGCUAAGGCUUUAUGGUAGCCAGAGUGUAAUCCUGACCCCUUGGUUUUGAGCAUGAUAAUGAGACUUGCUGUGGCCAAUGGGAUGUUAGCAGAUAGGACACAGGUGAGGUUUGAAGUGUGCCUGUGUAAGAGGGGUUGGCUUCUGUGCUCCCACCUUUUGCCAUGAGACCAUUCUAUGGGUAACCACUAGACAAGGAAGACAUGGAGAGCCAUAGAACAAAUAUAGACCUGGCCUGUAGCUUGGAACCAUGCCCAGCUGAGCCUGGCUUAGGUAAGCCAAUGUGCAGAUGUGUGAGUAUGAGAAUCCAUGGUUAUUGUUAUAUGCCACUGAAUUUGAGAGAUGGUUUGCAGCAUUGUUCUAGAUAGAUCUGACUAGUACACCUAGAAAUAUAUUUUCAAGGCCUUAUAACUUAUAAUAAACUCAUAUUUUAAUUUAUGCUUGGCUUAAAAUUCUGUAUAUGAAGUUCUAAAAAAAGAGAGAGAGAUGCUUAAUAGUUCAUUUAAGUCCAAUUUUUUUUUUUCCUAGACCCUGGCUCUUGGCCACUCAGGCUAUUUCUGUACAUUGAACAUACAUUAGCUAAUGUAACUUAGAGGUAAAUAGUAGGAUGGUGGGGAGGGGAAAUAGAGAAAUCUAGUAGAUAUUAAAUUCAACAAAUAUUUGUAGGAGUUCCCGUCAUGGCUCAGUGGUUAACGAAUCCAACUAGGAACCAUGAGGUUGCAGGUUCGAUCCCUGGCCUUGCUCAGUGGGCUGAGGAUCCGGCAUUGCCAUGAGCUGUGGUGUAGGUUGCAGACGCGGCUCAGAUCCCACAUUGCUGUGGCUCUGGCAUAGGCCGGUGGCUACAGCUCCAAUUCGACCCCUAGCCUGGGAACCUCCAUAUGCUGUGGGAGCAGCCCAAGAAAUGGCAAAAAAAAGACAAACAAACAAACAAAACAAAUAUUUGUAGAAUUCCUGUGACAUGCAAGGUAUUUUUCUAGGUACUAGAUGUACACAGAUAAAAGUCUGAGCCAUGCGGCUGCUGCUGGGCUCUGGCUUUUGGUCGGCCAAGAGCCAGACUGCUUGGACAGCCAGACACGGCUCCCUGCGCCGAGCCACCCAGCCGCCUGCUCCAAGCUUGUCACCACUGUAGCCCAGCCAGUGGCCCAGAGGUGGACCAUAAAGUGAAUGGUGGUGGGAGAUAGCGCUGUAGGUAAAACCUGCCUACCAAUCAGUGCAUUUCGUGGAGCAUAUAUCCCCACUGUCUUUGACAACUAUUCUGCCAAUAUUAUGAUGGAUGGAAAACCUGUGAAUCUGGGCUUAUGAGAUAUUGCAGGACAAGAAAAUUAUGACCAAUUUACAUCUCCUAUCCUAUCCGCAAAUAGAUGUAGUCUUAAUUUGCUUUUCCGCUGGAAGUGCUGCAGCAUUUGAAAAUGUUUGUGCAAAGUGGUAUCCUGAAGUGCAACACCGUUAUCCCAACACUCCUGUCAUCCUGGUGGGACGAAACUUGAUGUCAGGGAUGAUAACGACACGACUGAGAAACCGAGGGAGAAGAAGCCGACUCUCAUCACCUACCCACAGGGUUGGCCAUGGCAAAGGAGAUCUCUGUCGUAAAAUACCUGGAGUGCUGGCUCAUGCAGGCAGGCCUCGGGACGGUAACAGCGCUUGAGGAAACUAUUCCAGUGGUUCUCUGCCUGCCUCCUAUCAAGACGAGGAAGAGAAAAUGCCUGCUGUUAUAAAUGUCAGGGCUGCUCCUGCCAGUUCCCUCCCCUGGGAACCUUAGUAUGCUUUGCUCCAACCGUGGAGCCUUUGCACUCAGUCCAAGUUUUUCUUACAGAUUAGUUUUUCCACAAAACUGUUUUGAACCGAUCAGUAAUUUCAAGGUUUUGUUUGUUUAAAAUGUUAAGAGUUCAAACUUUCACAGUCUAUUAAAGUUUAGCCCCAAAAUGACAAGCUUUCCUCAAGUCUUAUUUUUCAAAAGCCCCUAUUCUUGCUUACAUUAACAGUUGCCAAAAUACCUUGUUAACUAAGUUGCACUGUUGGGCUAAGAACACUAAGCACUAAACUGUUUAAAGAACUUUGUCUUUAAGACAUGCUACUAUAUACAAAAUCGAUCUGUUAACAACUGUAUAGCUGGGGGAAAUCUGUUUGAUACACUGUGAUGGCCUAUAUGGGGAAAGAAUCUGAAAAAGAAUGGAUGUAUAUGUAUAUGUACGGCUAAUUCACUUUGGUGUACAGGGAAACUAACGUAACAUUGUAAGUCACUUAUACGCCAAUAAAAUUUAAAAAAAGAAAAAUGAAGAAGACUGUAGCUUCUGCGGUUGGGAAAUGCAAACACUUGUAAAUUCCAUUUGUGAGGAGCAAUACCUACCUCCUCCUUCAUGAAAUGUUGCCAUUUAAUGCAUCCUAAUUUAUCAACCUAUGUCCAUUCCCUAACUUUGUACUAUAUGUCAUAAUGAAAGGGUGUAACAGCUCAACUCUUUAGAUCAAUCUUUUUGAUUUCUUAGUGAUUUUUUUUUUAAAUUAGCUUUUGUGAGAUUUUGAACCGAACUCUGACUCACAUGUUCCCUCUGGUGAAGUGUUCUGCUCUGGUGCAUUGGGAUGGAGUGUGCAGAGCACGCGUGUGGUCAAAGGAUGAAGACAGUAUUUUGACAAAAUAUGGAAAUAAAUUUACAACACAUUGUAGAGGUAAUAAACUAUUAAAAAUGUCACAGGUAAACAUUUUGAAAGGUUGCAGCAGAAAUUAUCACAACCUUAUAAAUCAACUAUACUUCAAUAAAACAAAAAAGUUUUUAAAAAUUUAAAGGUUAAUUUCUGUCAAAUGCAGUAGAUGAUGAAGAAAGGUUGGUAUAUCAGUAAGUGUUUACUUAAACUUUUCCUUUUUCUUAAACCUGCCCAUCCCUCCUGAAAUUGGGCAUUUAAUUCAUCUUUGACUUGGUUAUUUUCAUAGUUGCUAACUUAGCAAGUGCUUUUCUUAGAGAAUCCCUUCUUUUAUGAGCAAUAUGUGUCCUUGUAUUAUGAAAUCUUUCUGAAUAUGUAGAAAAAUGUAUUGUGGGUUAGUAAGUGUAUUCCUCUUUUCAUGUUACUUUAUUCAAAGCUAAUAAUAAGUUCUUUCUUUAGUUUUCUAGUAACUAGGUAUAAAAAUCCUGCAUUGCAGCUUUACAGUUUUAAAAAUACUUUAGAUAUUCUUAAACUGUAAACCUUCUUACCAUCACUGUCUUGAUUGCUCCUGACACCACCCCUGGACUAAAACGCUGACCCUCCCCUUGCCUCACCAGCGUGCACGCACACUUCCUAUCCCUGCCUAACUGUGUUCCUCUGGGUCUGUGAGGUUCUGUAAAUCCUGUGUUCAUGCAAACAAAAUUCCAUACACCUUACCCACUGGCAAGAAUACGAGCUUGGACCUUUCAACCGUUAGAACAAAAAUAUUUAAAUUGACAGUUGCAGAAUUGUGGAGUGUUUGUACAUUGAUCUUUUGCCAAUGCAAUUAACAUACUUAGUGUAUGACUUAAUAAAUCCUUGAAUCAUAAAAAACGUCCCUGCCUUUAUGGAGCGUCCUUCUAGUGGCCAUUCAGUAGAUACAGGGGUCAUUCCAUUCCAUAGCGGAACAAGGUUCUCAGUAUCAAAUCAUAGAUUAUGGGAAUGAAAUGGACACAAGGAAUAAGGCAAGUUCAUACCCACUGAGACUUUACUAAGUAGAAGGGUCCACUUACCUUGAAGGGAAAAACUAAGAAAAGGAUGCAAGCCAAGGAAACAAGUAGGAAUGAGUUUCAUUCAAAAUGAGGGAAGAAUUUCAUCUGAGAAAUGGAAAACCUAAAAACAUUAAAAUAAAGCGUUCCCUUGUGGCACAGUGGGUUAAGGAUCUAUUGUUGUCACUGCAGCGACUUGGGUCACUGCUGUGGCAUGGGUUCAGUCCCUGGCUUGGGAAUGUCAACAUGCCAU